GGAAUAGCUCAGUUGGUAGAGCACCGGUCUCCAAAACCGGGUGUCGAGAGUUCGAGUCUUUCUUCC
rnacentral:tRNA from 1 species